GCUAGCUAUAUCAAUUACAUCAGUCAUUGAACGCACGGGUUAUAAGUCAGUUUUUAAAAUAUUCCUCAUAAACGAUAUGAUUAUAAAAAGUUUAAAUCACGAUCUAAUAUUGACCCCAUGAUUUUGGGAGAAACGUCAUAAAGUCAUAAAAUUUAUAAAUAAAAAAAUUCCGUGCAUUUUGCACGGGUCAAAACCUAGUGAAGUUUAUAAUAAAAUAACAAGUUUUGAUAUUAAUGCACGCAUCGCGUACAUAUAAGGCUAGUUUCAAUUAGAGGAACAAGUUAGGAAUUAUUCUACUAAAACUUUUAAUGUAUAAAAAAAAGAAUGGUGAAAAAAAAAAGAAUUAACUAACACAUGUUAGUCGCGCCAUCACCCAUCAACUUAGGUAAGCAAAAAGAGAGUUGCCAUCUUCGACUCAGUCAUGAAUUAGCGGCAACAAUAUUAUCAAUUAGCGGCAAGAAUACACCAAAAAAAAACAAAAAAAAUCAGCAUCCCCGUUGAAAUAGCUUAACAGAAUCAAUUUUUCCUAAAAUAUAGAGGGAAUAAUCGCACAAAAUUUUCAAUGUGAUGAAAUCUCAAAUCUGAAAAAAUCACAAUAGAAAUUAUUUCCCUCUAUAUUUUGGGCGGGGAUUGUUUCAACAGCUGUUCAAAGCGAAGAGUGUUGUGCGAGAAAACGUGAAAUUGCGAUUCACCAAGACCUCCAUAGCCAUUUCGUGAAGACAAAAGCCGACCAUCGAACCUCCAAUCUGAGUUGAAAAGCUUGCACAAUUCAGGUACUUUCACCUCUUCUAUAUGUAGACUUUUCACAAGAAAUACAACGUGACAGCUGACCGAUGAGGAGGCCGAUGAUGAGCCCUAUGAGAAGUCUGCCAACAUAGAAGGCGAUGAGGACGAAUUUGAAGAACAUUGACAUUUAUAUAUUCUGUGUUCAAUUUCAUAUACUGGUUUUUUUCCAAUAAUAAUGGUUACUGUGUUCUAAGGAUUAUGGUUUUGUUAGUGGUUACCAUGGAUUUAAAUAUUGUACUGCUUUUGAAUUCAAGUGCGAGGUUUAUGAAUUGUCUUUGUUUGAAAGGA